rnacentral:lncRNA from 1 species
GGGUAAUAAUGGAAUAGAAUGUAUGAGGAGUGGGUAAAAACGGAACAAGGAGGAAUGAAUGUAUGAAUAAUAAUAACGUAGGGAUGCAUAAAGUUUAGGUUUAAACCUCUUUUUGGUCCCUAAGUUAUGAGCGGAUGUUCAGUUUAGUCCCCGCUUUUAAAAAUGUAAACCUUUGAUUCCUAAGUUAUAAAAAAUGUAUCAAAUGAGUCCUUUUUUUAUGUUCAUGGUCAAAGUACAAAGAGCAAUCUAAAGUGCUGUUAUUAUUAAGAAACAAAUCAGAACAAUCUAAAGAUAUAGCAGUUGUUAAGAAACAACCAAAAACAAUAUUUCAAGUCAAAAAAUGACUCAUUUGAUACAUUUUUUAUAACUUAGGGACAAAAGAUUUACAUUUUUAAAAACGGGGACUAAACUGAACAUCCGCUUAUAACUUAGGGACCAAAAAGAGGUUUAAACCUAAAGUUUAUUAGGUGUCAAUAAUCUUGUGGUGUAAAAGGUAAAUGUGAGGUAAGGAGAAAAGUGAAAUGUGCUUAGCACAUAUCCAAUCUAUUCUUCUCGAUAAACUAUUUUUUAUUAUUAUUUAAUUUUAUUAUAUUUUUUAUUUUUCUUUACUCAUUCUUCUAUCCAUACCACUAAGAUUUAUC